UUGGCCCCCCUCUUUUUUUGUGUGUUUUUUUUUCGCCCUCUCUUGCUUCCCCCUUUCUCACUGACUCAGCUUCGGUUACAAUUUUCAGGCGACCUCUUGGCUCUUCGGUCAGCUUCGGUCUCGGUUUCAGCCUUUAAGUUGCACAGUGAUUGGCUCUGAGUUGCGUAAGCCUUUUCAAUUCAACUUGUGGUCUAUGAUUGAGUGUGUUUUUUAAAUCUGGUUUUGAAUUUCUUUUCUUGGUGUUUGGUUGCCGAGAAAGUGGAGGAAAAUAAAGUAGAGGCAACAUGGUUUACAGAUUUCUAAUCCUCACGAAGUAUUUUUUUUUUUUUUUGUAGUGAAUAUUAGGAAGUUUGUACCUUUUUGGUUUGAGAAGAAAAGAAGUGAUGAUUAUUUCCUCAAAUGAUCGACGCUGAUUAAACUGGGCGAUUUUUUUUUUUUUUUUUUUUUUCUUUCUCUUUUGAGAAACCAAGCCAAGUGUUUCUGUUCCUUUUCUGUCAUUACUCUGAUAUGAUCUUUUUUUUUUCUUUUUUAAGUUUUA